rnacentral:misc_RNA from 1 species
AAGUCGUAACAAGGUUUCCGUAGGUGAACCUGCGGAAGGAUCAUUAAUGAUUUUUAAGCGAGUCGAGCGUUUAAGCGAGGCUUGCGAAAAAUAUUUAAAACCCCACUCUUUUUAACUUUAAAAUAUAAAUCAUGAUACAUGAAUUUAAAAAAAAAGAUCACUUUCAACAACGGAUCUCUUGGCUCUC